rnacentral:rRNA from 1 species
AGCGAACGCUGGCGGCAGGCCUAACACAUGCAAGUCGAACGAACCUUUCGGGGUUAGUGUCGGACGGGUGAGUAACACGUGGGAACGUGCCUUUAGGUUCGGCAUAACUCAGGGAAACUUGUGCUAAUACCGAAUGUGCCCUUCGGGGGAAAGAUUUAUCGCCUUUAGAGCGGCCCGCGUCUGAUUAGCUAGUUGGUUGAGGUAAUGGCUCACCAAGGCGACGAUCAGUAGCUGGUCUGAGAGGAUGAUCAGCCACAUUGGGACUGGGACACGGCCCAAACUCCUACGGGAGGCAGCAGUGGGGAAUCUUGCGCAAUGGGCGAAAGCCUGACGCAGCCAUGCCGCGUGAAUGAUGAAGGUCUUAGGAUUGUAAAAUUCUUUCACCGGGGACGAUAAUGACGGUACCCGGAGAAGAAGCCCCGGCUAACUUCGUG